rnacentral:rRNA from 1 species
AAUCAGGCAGGACUACCCGCCGGAACUUAAGCAUAUCAAUAAGCGGAGGAAAAGAAACUAACAAGGAUUCCCCUAGUAACUGCGAGUGAAGCGGGAAGAGCUCAAAUUUAAAAUCUGGCGGCCCCCCCUGGCUGUCCGAGUUGUAAGCUAGAGAAGCGCAGUCCGCGCUGGGGCCAUGUACAAGUCUCCUGGAACGGAGCGUCAUAGAGGGUGAGAAUCCCGUCUCUGACAUGGACCUCUCCCAGGGCAUAGCGAUUGCGUUCUCAAAGAGUCGAGUUGUUUGGGAAUGCAGCUCCAAAUGGGUGGUAAACUCCAUCUAAAGCUAAACAUAGGCGAGAGACCGAUAGCGAACAAGUACCGUGAGGGAAAGAUGAAAAGAACUUUGGAAAGAGAGUUAAACAGUACGUGAAAUUGUUGAAAGGGAAACGCUUGAAGUCAGUCACGUCGGCUUGGGAUCAGCCUUGCAACUGCGAGGUGCACUCCCUGGUCGACGGGUCAGCACCAGUUUCGACCGCUGGAGAAAGGUCGGGGGAAUGUGGCAUCCUCGGAUGUGUUUAUAGCCCUCGAUUGCAUGCAUCGGUUGGGAUUGAGGAACUCAGCGCGCCGCAAGGCCGGGUUUUCAAACCACGUCCGCGCUCAGGAUGCUGGCACAAU